UACGUAGGAUGCAAGCGUUGUCCGGAAUUAUUGGGCGUAAAGAGCGCGCAGGCGGUAUGACAAGUCAGAUGUGAAAGAGGCCGGCUUAACCGGCAAGGGUCAUUUGAAACUGUCAGACUAGAGUGCAGCAGAGGAUAGUGGAAUUCCCGGUGUAGUGGUGAAAUGCGUAGAUAUCGGGAGGAACACCAGUGGCGAAGGCGACUAUCUGGGCUGCAACUGACGCUGAGGCGCGAAAGCCAGGGGAGCAAACGGG
rnacentral:rRNA from 1 species